UACGGAGGAUGCGAGCGUUAAUCGGAAUUACUGGGCGUAAAGCGUGCGCAGGCGGCUUUGCAAGACAGAUGUGAAAUCCCCGGGCUCAACCUGGGAACUGCAUUUGUGACUGCAAGGCUAGAGUACGGCAGAGGGGGAUGGAAUUCCGCGUGUAGCAGUGAAAUGCGUAGAUAUGCGGAGGAACACCAAUGGCGAAGGCAAUCCCCUGGGCCUGUACUGACGCUCAUGCACGAAAGCGUGGGGAGCAAACAGG
rnacentral:rRNA from 1 species